GUCUGCAGAGAAAGAGCCAGGAUUGGAGAAGUCAGGGGGAGGAGAUGGAAGAGAACCAGAGAACCAGGGAGCGGCUCCACUCAGGGGGCACACUCGCAGCCAGGGCUCAUCACUCAUCUAUUCAGCUCUUCAUUCAGCAAACAUUCAUCAGGACCUCGGAUAUGCCAGGCACCAUGCCAGUCGCCAAGGAUCUAGCACUUAUUUUCCACAACUCAGCAACCAGUUGGGCUGCUUCCCUCUGACGCACUUGCUUCUCAUCCGGGGAGCGGGGAGUCUCCGUCUUCACAAAUGAGAAAACAGGCUUUAAGAAGAUAACUCACUGGCCUAAGUCAAGUGGCCGAGCUGGGAUUUGAACCCUAAGCCUUUGAGAAGCCAAAGUCCCUUCUUCAGCUGGGUGGUCAUGGAGUCACCUGAAUAUCUCAUCAGAAGAUGGCUUCUGAGAGUCUGUCCUAUCCCAAUGGCCCCAACAAGAUACAUAUAGACCUUAGAUUAUUGCUACCUGCGUGGAUUCAAAUGACCAAGGCACAACAAUGAGGGGAAUCCAAGCAAUGCCAGCCCAGGUGGUUGGGUCCUCAGGGCCCAAACACUUGACUCUCACCUGUCUCCACACUUGGUCUGCUGUGUGACUCAGAAAACACCUGCCCAUCCUCUCUGGGCCAGGCCACAGGCAAUGCCCUCCAAAAAGAGGUCAGCAAAGUGUGAGAUUCAGAUAAUCUCAGAAGUCACCUGUUCAAAUAUGACUAUCAUAUAAAUACAGACCUCAGGAAGAAAAGUGAGAAAAACAAACUUCAUCCCCUUCCUCUCCGUGGCCCCUGCGGAACACCAGGACCCUUAGCUCUUGUAGGACAUGCCCCCCAGCCACUUCUGGGCUCUGACCCAUUGACCUGGUCCUAGGAAGCCUCCAAACCCCUAAGGAAAGGGCCGUGCCUCUCCAAGGCCAGGCUGGGCAGGGCAGAGCAGACAGUAGGUGAGGCUGGCGUGGCAGGUUCUGGGCUGUGUGGAGGGGAAUGGGUUUCCCUUCCUUCCCCUCCAAUCCAUGUCAAGCUAGGAAGCCCCCGCCCCUUUGCCUCACCAGGCUGAGCAGCUAAUCCUUUGCAAAAACAGCCCCUGGGAACAAGGGCAGAGACAAGCCCACCUCACAAAGCAGUUCACUUAUGAGAGGAUGUAUGUGAGGUGGUGUUGGCGUGGGGAGUGCUGGCUUCAUGACGGGGAUUCUCCUCUUGCCUGAGGUCUCUGUCUGUGGGCCCCAAAGGAGCCCCCUCUUGUUUGAACUCACUGGUGAAUUGGCUAAGAGCUUGUUGGGCCUUCUGGGGAGGGGGACACUUACUCAAAAUGCCAGGCCCAAUUUCUCUGGGCUCUUGCCUGAGGUACGGAGGGAGAAGGAGAGAAGGAAGUCCUGUCCUGGCCUGCUGGAUUGGGACAUGCCCCUCCCCUUUCCCUAAUAAUAUUUCCCUAACCUGGAGAGAACAGGCGGUGAGGAGAAAAGAACAGAGAGGACACAAAGAAACAGAAGAGGAAAGUCAUUGGGUUCUGGCUACAGUCCAACAUCAAUGCUGGAUGAGCCUGGGGCACCCUGGAGGGCCUCCGCUAGUUCUUACAGUUCAUGCACCCAUCUUCCAGAAAUCUGGGGAAAGAUUCUGAACCUUAGGAAUAGGCUGACACAGAGUAAAUGUUCAGAGAAUAUUUGUGGGUGGGUGGAUGGACAGACGGAUGGAUGGAUGGAUGGAUGGAUGGAUGGAUGGAUGGAUGAAUGCAUGGAAGAAGUUAAAGCUAGAUGAAUGUGAAUUGGGAAAUAAAUGAACAGAUGGAUAAGAUGUGUAGAUAAUGGAUAAGUGGGUGGUUGGAUGAUGAACAAAUGGAUGAAUGGAUGGAUGGGUAGAUGGAUGGGUAAAUGAAAUAAGUAAAAACUAGAUGAAUAUGAAUAAGGAAAUGGGUGGAUGGAUGGAUGGACAGAUAGUUGAAGAAAUGGGUAAAAGAAUUUUUAAAAGAAUGGAAGAAGAGAG